CUUGGUUUUUCAUUAACUUUAUGCACUGAUGUAUCAUCAGAAAUUUGCCCAGAAGGCCCAACCUUACCUAGAGGUAAGAAUGUGGGGAUAGGAGAGGGGAAGAAAUGGAGCUUAUCUUCGCUUAAGUGCUUUUUCAAAUUACUUUUGCCCCUCAAGGACAUUACUAUGAGAUGAGAAAACACUGUGUGAGGAUAGAGGGCAGCGAAUGGAUUGGUGAUGACAGGAGUUCAGGAGUCACAGAGCAUGGUCCCUACUGGCUGGGGGACCAAGAAGCCAGAGAGAAGUGUCCAAUUUCUCAACCCUAAGAGGGGAAAACACCACACCAACCUGAUUGGGCGGUUGUGAAGAUGAGAUGAGAGCAUGUAUGAACGUGGUCAGGACGUGGCGGCUGCCACAGCAGUGGGAUCAUUUGAAGUGGAAGGCAGAAUCUGUGUGGCAGAGUCGAGAUCUUGCUCUGGACUUAGCAUCAUGUGACGUGUGUAAAAAUAGAGUGCAGUGUAAGAAAUGGGAUCAGCUGCAAUUUUGUUUCGUGCCUUCACAGGAAUCUAUGCCGGCCUGCAGAUCCACCUACCAGUAGAUGGGAAAUACAAGAAACAUCUUAAUCACCACCACAGGAAGGUAAUCAGCAAAAUUACAGGCUGUGGGGAGGGAGUCCUACUCCUUACUACUUGAAGUAGUGAGUAGUUCAGAGACCAGCCACAUCAGCAUCGCUGGGGCUCCUGUUAAACAUGGGGAUGCCAGGCCCCACCCCAGUCUGCUGCAUCAGAACCUCUAAUAAAAUUUCCAAGUGAUUCACAUUCACAUUUACAUUUCAGAAUCAAUGUUCUACAGGACAAUCAAAACAAGACAAAACAAACCCUCUGCCCUGAGUGGCAAUGACCCAAACAGCAGCUGCUCUGUGGCGUCCCAGAGUGAGGAGGACAUGGGUCUGGAGCAGCACCCUGUGUGCACAUGAGGGAGAAAGCAGUCCCUUAAUCAUAGCCAGAGAUUUGGGAAAUUGUUAGUGCUGCGUCUUCUAGCAAAAGCUAGUAUACGUCUCUAUGCAGGAUUACAGUGAAGACUACAUGUGAGUAUGUACAGAGAGUACCUGAAAAAAUAAUAGCUACUCUUGUCCAUAAACGUUUGCUCCCUUCUCCCCUCAGCAUUCACGAAGCAGCUAGGACUGCUGAGAAGCUGCCAUAAACACCCCUUGUGCAUGGCAGAAACCCGGAAUGAUAAGAGCGUAGUCAUUUGUUUUAGGGGCCUCACGUUCAUGAAGAUCUGCCACAUGCUCAAAAAGUGGAAAAUUUUGUUAUUUCAGCCUAAUAGUCUUAUGAGAUUGGUACUGUGUUCUUUGUUUUACAUAAAAUGUAAUCUGUAAUAUGGGAGAGUAGAUGGCAUAUUGAUGGGUCUGGCAAAAAGAAGGCCAAAACAAAACAACAACAACAAAAACCCAAAAAACAAAAAACUCACACUUCAGGAAUUCUGAGCUAAAACCUAAGAAACAGAAACUAGUUUUUGAUGAAUUACAUGCUAGGAUGAAUUAAAUAAUUCAUAGUAUCAAUGAUGUGGUUGAGUACUAAUGUCUUUCAUGAAAGUGCGGGAAGUGAAGCCAGGAAACUCAGAACAAGGGUUGGUCAAAGGAAAUUAGGUAUGAGCGUGGCUUUGUUGUGCAAUUCACAUACACUCACAUUCAAAAAUGUGCUCACACAUGUAGCUACAUACAUUUGUAUCAAUAUGCAAGAUUCUGCAUAAUAAAUAUGAGGCUAAAAUAAAUAAGCAACUUAAGCAGGUUGUACCUAUUUCUUUUUUUAAUGCUUAUUUAUUUUGAGAGAGAGUAUGUGUGUAUGUGCUCACAAGCAGGAGAGUGAGAGCAAGGGAGAGAGAGAGACUCUCAAGUAGGCUCCAUGCUGUCAGCACAGAGCUGGCACAGGGCUCAAUCCCAGGAACCACGAGAUCAUGACCUGAGCCAAAAUCAAGAGUUAGAUGCUUAACCAACUGAGCCACCCAGGUGCCCCAGGUUGUACAUUAUUUCUAAUACAGUGAAAAAUAACUAGACAAGGGGCCUGAGAAGUAAAAUGCAAUCCUGCAAUCAAGGAGAGCACACUUCUGUACAAACACAGAAGUACCAAUGAUCCAUGCAGGGAAUGGUUGUUGUUGUUUUUUUUUUUUUUUGAUUUUUUUUUUUUUUGAUGUUUAUUUAUUUUUGAAAGAGAGACAGAGUGAGAGGCAGAGGGGCAGAGAGAGAAGGAGUCACAGAAUCCGAAGCAGGCUCCAGGCUCCGAGCUGUCAGCACAGAACCCGAUGUGGGGCUUGAACUCACGGAGUAUAAGAUCAUGACCUGAGCUGAAGUCGGACACCUAACCGACUGAGCCACCCAGGCGCCCCAGGGAAUGGCUGUUUGGAUUAAACUCAUGAUUCACUAGAAGGAAGAGGGAAGGAAACAGACCAGGAGCUGUGGCCAGAACGAAGCCUGUGAUGAGAUAUGAUAGCUCAUGUCAGGUUGGAAAGGUCAUGUGACUUGGAGACUCCAAGUUUCACAACAAAUAAUUACUACAGUGAGAUUUGAACCCAGGUCUGUACGUACAACAUGAGUGAUCAAUCCACCUGGAACGUAGAUUUCUGGUGGCACAAACAAUACAAAUGUUAAUCUCAAACACAUGUUUUAAUUCUAUUUAAACAACAUACUCUAGAUAAAUAUUUUAUAAAAUGUUAUUUUACUCCCCAAAGAUUUAGAUUAUACAAUAAAAUACUACAGAAAAACAAACAUUUAUUAAUUAUUAUUAUUUAAUUCCCUUUCUGCUGACAUUUCAUACUAUAGUAAUCACUAUACAUGUAAUUAAGACGGGUCCAUUUGAAAAUGCUUACUGACUGCCAAACUGUUUCAACAAGCCAGAUAAUGCAUUUGAUAUGCUGGCAGAUUGCAGAAUUUGGUCAGCCUCAGUCAGUACUUGCAAAAGUUACUAGAAUAAGAUAAAACCAUCUCCCGUUUCCCACUUGUGUUACUCCUGAAAUCUCCCUUUGGUUCACAACACAUUUCUGUGCCUAGACUUUGCUUUGGAAGCUUAUGCCUACAUGGCUUUGUCAAUUCCAGCCUCUUCUGACCAUGUAAUACUUCAAAUCCUUAACCCAAUUUAUCUAAAGCAUCCAAAGUUACAAGAUCGUUUACAUAAACAUUUAGGGAUUGUUGGAUGUGUACCUGUAUCUCCUUAAAAGUUACUUUGGAUUAACACACAACUGGAAAUAUUAAUACUUCUUUAGUUUACGCAGUGGGAGAAUCUGUCUGACUUGUUGCUACUUGAAAUGAAUUUGUUCACGACGCACCUGGGUGGCUCAGUCAGUUAAGCGUCCAGCUCUUGGUUUUGGCUUAGGUCAUGAUCUCAUAGUUUGUGAGUUCUAGCCCAGCAUACGGUUCUGCACUAAGUGCCCAGGGCAUGCUUGGGAUUCUCUCUCCCUCGCUCUCUGCCCCUCCCCUACUCAUGCGUGCACUCUCUCUCAAAAUAAAAGUAAACUUCGGGGCGUCUGGGUGGCUCAGUCAGUUGAGCCUCGGACUUCAGCUCAGGUCAUGAUCUCAUGGUUUGUGAGUUCAAGCCCCACAUCAGGCUCGCUGCCUUCAGUGCAGAGCCUGCUUCGGAUCCUUUGUCCCCUUCGCUCUGCCCCUCCCCUGCUUGCAUUCUCUCAAAAAUAAAUAAAAAAUU